rnacentral:misc_RNA from 1 species
GUUUGUACAAAGAAUUUACAUGGUUCGAGUAUAAAAAAUCAGCAUAUAAAACUAGAUUGGCUGAUAAUAGAUUAAUACUUUUUGAAAAAAUUGCAGCCUCAUAAUAAUUUUAUUUUUGGUAUCUAAAAGUGACAAAGUCCCACCAUGUUAGGAAUUAUGGGUUGUCAAGAUGCUCAUUGUGGGCUUACAAAAAUAGAUGAUUGGAUUCCUAUAGAUAGCAAAAUUUGUAUUUUCUUAUACUGUUU